AAAAUGGUGUCUUUAGACACCAUCAAUAUUCCUUGAAGAUUAUUU
rfam:Picea glauca, whole genome shotgun sequence.